AUCAUUUUAAAAUGUAAAAUGUUCUCUUAUAUACAAAUAGUUAAAUACAAUACUUAAUAUAAAAGUAUGUCUGGUAGCCUAGGGCUAUUUAAUUAGUUAUUACCUAAUUUUACACAAAGGCAUAAUUUGCAACCCAUACAAACUUCUCAUUAAAAUAUUUGUUAACUAUCUGUACGACGUCAACCUAUUCGACAUAUAAGAGUAAUAGGCAACAGGAGAUUUUUUUUUGUUUGAAAUCGAAUUGCUAAAGAUUAAAUUAGAAAGACACAUAUUCAGAAUUGUCAUCUUUAAAAGUGCUUGCAAUUUGUCGAUUGCCAGCUAUGCGUUUAAUUCAAAUGCAAAUCUUCCUGGUACGUUUCAAACAAAGGCAUUUUAAAACACUAUUUUCAAAGGUAUUGUUUAUAAAUACGACGUCACAUAAUAGGUGAAACUUUGGCAAUGGUCGAGAACAUCAAAUCGACAGUAAACAGGUUCUGACCUAUUGAUUUCUUGAAUUCUAAAUAACCAUGAAAUCUAAAUAUCCAUUACUAGUAAUUCCGUCCAUCAGUCAAAAUUCACCCAUGAUACAACACGGGUUUGAUCCGGUAUUUUACAGUCUAUGGGUAGAACGCAGCGUGUUGUGGUAGGAGUGGCAAUCUUCGCGCAUGUCAAUAAAGACGAAGCAGGGAAAGUGGGUCUCUCUUUCUGGAAAAAGAACCGAUGAGGACGUGUGGUGCCUGUGUGCGUUCGCAGCAAGAUUCAGUAAAUGUAAAAUUCCUCGUUUAUGUGACAGAUUGUCUUUUGGAGUAGAUGGUGGAUAUGUACUGGUCUAUUGAGGCAUCAUGCCUUUUGGAUGGUGGAUGGUGCCGGAUGUAUAGCUGUGGUGUUGGCAUCAUGCCUUUUGGAUGGUGGAUGGUGUCGGAUGUAUAGCUGUGGUGUUGGUGAGUCCAAUAUUAGCUUUGCAAGUUAUAUAUUCAGCUGGUAUUGUGAUGACUUCACAUCUUUGCCGUUUACCCAUCUGACUAAAUUUGGAUGCUGAGACUGUGACUAACUGAACCAUUUAUAUAUUGACUGACUAGGACUACAUCCCAUUUGAUUUCUUCUUAACACAGUUCAUUUUCUGUUCUUAGGCAUCAUGCCUUUUGGAUGGUGGAUGGUGCCGGAUGUAUAGCUGUGGUGUUGGUGAGUCCAAUAUUAUUAGCUUUGCAAGUUAUAUAUUCAGCUGGUAUUGUGAUGACUUCACAUCUUUGCCGUUUACCCAUCUGACUAAAUCUGGAUGCUGAGACUGUGACUAACUGAACCAUCUAUAUAUUGACUGACUAGGACUACAUCCCAUUUGAUUUCUUCUUAACAGUUCAUUUUCUGUUCUUAGGCAUCAUGCCUUUUGGAUGGUGGAUGGUGCCGGAUGUAUAGCUGUGGUGUUGGUGAGUCCAAUAUUAUUAGCUUUGCAAGUUAUAUAUUCAGCUGGUAUUGUGAUGACUUCACAUCUUUGCCGUUUACCCAUCUGACUAAAUUUGGAUGCUGAGACUGUGACUAACUGAACCACCAGUGUUUUUCUACAAGCAAUACUUUAACCCCACGUGUGGACUGAUCACCAGUAUGAAUACCUUUUUCUCCUCCAGAUGGGUUGGCCCAGCAGGGUGGUGAUGACAUGGGCCGGAGGGGUCUCCUAUAGCACGAUUUGAUGGGCCAUGAUGUGGACCUGAAGAUUGAACCCCCCUGGGGGUGAGUGUCUGCCUGUGAACUGAAUGUUGACUUCAUCUUUGAUUUAUUGUAAGCGCAUGCAACUGGAGUUGUGAUGAGUUCUACAUUUUGCCGUUUACCCAUCUGACUAAAUCGGGAUGCUGAGACUGUGACUAACUGAACGACCAGUAUAAUCACUGACAUUCUAUGCCGCCAUCAAAUGACUGGCCACACUGAUGUACUGUACUUCUCUCCUAGACUGUACGUGGAGUAUGAAGAGCUAAGUCUGGAUCCUGUGGUGAGUGUGUCCUCUGGGUUCAAUGUAGCUAAUACAUGGUUUUAUUUGGGUCUGUUUUUUUUUUACUACUGGUAUUGCGGUCAUGUAUAUUGGCCCCAUUUGUCUAAACAGAGUAUGUUAGUUACACAAGUCAGGUUCACUGACGUGUUGUCUGACAUUCCUUCAGGUUGGUUUGUGAGUUGCAGUAAAUGCAUAUCUUGUUGGUGAGUUCUUUCCUGGUAUUGCAUGUUGAACUGGAUUGUUAAUGUUCAGUACUUGCUGGAACUGUGAUGUCUUCUGACACAUUUCUGCAGACUCACCCUGCUGUAAAGCCAUUCAUCUGAGAUUCCUGCAUUAUGAAAUGUGUAGAAUAUUUGUAAAAUAGUUCAAGGAAGUGAGUUGUCUUUUUGAGAAGCUUAACAUAGAUUUGACUAAACUUUUGGUGAGUUUGACUUCUGUUCACACUUUGCCCAAGCUUCUGAGAUGGAUAUAUCUAUUUUUUUUAAGGUGACUACAGACUGUCAAAAGUACUGCCUGGUUGAACUACUGGUUAAAUGUUACAUUUUAAUGUGAUUUUACCCUGUAUGAUGUAAAUGAUUAAAGUUGAUCUCACAGUUAAU
ensembl:lncRNA